UCCUGCUUGACGCAGGCAGUUUCUUUAGAGUCCCCAGCAUAACCUGAUGGUAACUAAAGAUGAGGGUUGCGCUCGUUGCGGGACUUAACCCAACAUCUCACGACACGAGCUGACGACAGCCAUGCAGCAUCUGUCUCUACUCCGGCCGAACCGAAAGACCUCAUUACAAGGUCCGAUGAGUAGGAUGUCAAGAGCUGGUAAGGUUCUUCGCGUUGCCUCGAAUUAAACCACAUGCUCCACCGCUUGUGCGGGUCCCCGUCAAUUCCUUUGAGUUUUAAUCUUGCGACCGUACUCCCCAGGCGGGAUGCUUAACGCGUUAGCUACGACACCGAGAAUAAAUCCCAACGUCUAGCAUCCAUCGUUUAGGGCGUGGACUAC
rnacentral:misc_RNA from 1 species